rnacentral:rRNA from 1 species
UCAAAAACAUAGCCUUUAGCCCCACAAGUAUUAAAGGUCCCGCCUGCCCAGUGACUCUUUAAACGGCCGCGGUAUCCUAACCGUGCAAAGGUAGCAUAAUCACUUGUCCCUUAAAUAGGGACUGGAAUGAACGGCUAAAUGAGGAUUAAACUGUCUCUUGCGAGCCGGUCAAUGAAUUUGAUUUUCCAGUUCAAAAGCUGGAAUAAACACAUAAGACGAGAAGACCCUGUGGAGCUUCAAAACCUAGUUCACCAAAUAAUGCUUCCUUCGGUUUUUAGUUGGGGCGACUUCGGAGCACAAAAAAACCUCCAAAACAUGUAAACCCACUAUAUUAAGAUCAACAAACCACAAAACCACAAGAUCCAGCAACAGCCCUUAAUGUUGUCUGACCAAUGAACCAAGUUACCCCAGGGAUAACAGCGCCAUCCCCUUCUAGAGUCCCUAUCGACAAGGGGGUUUACGACCUCGAUGUUGGAUCAGGACACCCCAAUGGUGCAGCCGCCACUAAAGGUCGUUUGUUCAACGAUUAAAGUCCUA